UAGGGAAUCUUCCACAAUGGACGCAAGUCUGAUGGAGCAACGCCGCGUGAGUGAAGAAGGUUUUCGGAUCGUAAAGCUCUGUUGUUGGUGAAGAAGGAUAGAGGCAGUAACUGGUCUUUAUUUGACGGUAAUCAACCAGAAAGUCACGGCUAACUACGUGCCAGCAGCCGCGGUAAUACGUAGGUGGCAAGCGUUGUCCGGAUUUAUUGGGCGUAAAGCGAGCGCAGGCGGAAUGAUAAGUCUGAUGUGAAAGCCCACGGCUCAACCGUGGAACUGCAUCGGAAACUGUCAUUCUUGAGUGCAGAAGAGGAGAGUGGAAUUCCAUGUGUAGCGGUGGAAUGCGUAGAUAUAUGGAAGAACACCAGUGGCGAAGACGGCUCUCUGGUCUGCAACUGACGCUGAGGCUCGAAAGCAUGGGUAGCGAACAGG
rnacentral:rRNA from 1 species